rnacentral:rRNA from 1 species
GUGGGGAAUCUUCCGCAAUGGACGAAAGUCUGACGGAGCGACGCCGCGUGAGUGAAGAAGGCCUUCGGGUCGUAAAGCUCUGUCAUCAGGGACGAACGGCCGGUGGAGUGGAAAGCCACCGGAUUGACGGUACCUGAGAAGGAAGCCACGGCUAACUACGUGCCAGCAGCCGCGGUAAUACGUAGGUGGCAAGCGUUGUCCGGAAUUAUUGGGCGUAAAGCGCGCGCAGGUGGGAUCUUAAGUCCAUUUUUAAAGUUCGGAGCUCAACUCCGUGAUGGGAUGGAAACUGAGAUUCUGGAGUACCGGAGAGGAAAGCGGAAUUCCCCGUGUAGCGGUGAAAUGCGUAGAUAUGGGGAGGAACACCAGUGGCGAAGGCGGCUUUCUGGACGGUGUCUGACACUGAGGCGCGAAAGCCAGGGGAGCGAACGGGAUUAGAAACCCUAGUAGUCC